ACAGCAGCAGCCGCGGGAAUACGGAGGAUCCAAGCGUUAUCCGGAAUCAUUGGGUUUAAAGGGUCCGUAGGCGGUCUUGUAAGUCAGUGGUGAAAGCCCAUCGCUCAACGGUGGAACGGCCAUUGAUACUGCAGGACUUGAAUUAUUGGGAAGUAACUAGAAUAUGUAGUGUAGCGGUGAAAUGCUUAGAGAUUACAUGGAAUACCAAUUGCGAAGGCAGGUUACUACCAAUUGAUUGACGCUGAUGGACGAAAGCGUGGGUAGCGAACAGGAUUAGAUACCCGGUAGUCCCUGUCUCUUAUACC
rnacentral:rRNA from 1 species